rnacentral:rRNA from 1 species
ACGCUGGCGGUAUGCUUAACACAUGCAAGUCGAACGGGCACUUUCGGGUGUUAGUGGCGGACGGGUGAGUAACGCGUGAGAAUCUAGCUCUAGGUCUGGGACAACCAUUGGAAACGAUGGCUAAUACUGGAUGUGCCGAGAGGUGAAAGGCUUGCUGCCUAGAGAUGAGCUUGCGUCAGAUUAGCUAGUAGGUGUGGUAAGAGCGCACCUAGGCGACGAUCUGUAGCUGGUCUGAGAGGACGAUCAGCCACACUGGAACUGAGACACGGUCCAGACUCCUACGGGAGGCAGCAGUGGGGAAUUUUCCGCAAUGGGCGAAAGCCUGACGGAGCAAUACCGCGUGAGGGAGGAAGGCUCUUGGGUUGUAAACCUCUUUUCUCAAGGAAGAUAAUGACGGUACUUGAGGAAUAAGCAUCGGCUAACUCCGUGCCAGCAGCCGCGGUAAUACGGAGGAUGCAAGCGUUAUCCGGAAUGAUUGGGCGUAAAGCGUCCGCAGGUGGUUUUGAAAGUCUGUUGUUAAAGCGUGAGGCUUAACCUCAUAAGGGCAAUGGAAACUACGAGACUAGAGUACGUUCGGGGCAAGGGGAAUUCCCAGUGUAGCGGUGAAAUGCGUAGAGAUUGGGAAGAACACCGGUGGCGAAAGCGCCUUGCUAGGCCGUAACUGACACUGAGGGACGAAAGCUAGGGGAGCGAAUGGGAUUAGAUACCCCAGUAGUCCUAGCCGUAAACGAUGGAUACUAGGCGUUGUCU